rnacentral:rRNA from 1 species
CAGUCGCCGCGGUAAUACGUAGGUGGCAAGCGUUGUCCGGAAUUAUUGGGCGUAAAGGGCUCGCAGGCGGUUUCUUAAGUCAGAUGUGAAAGCCCCCGGCUCAACCGGGGAGGGUCAUUGGAAACUGGGAAACUUGAGUGCAGAAGAGGAGAGUGGAAUUCCACGUGUAGCGGUGAAAUGCGUAGAGAUGUGGAGGAACACCAGUGGCGAAGACGACUCUCUGGUCUGUAACUGACGCUGAGGAGCGAAAGCGUGGGGAGCGAACAGGAUUAGAUACCCCCGUAGUCCCUGUCUCUUAUAC